GCUGGCGGCGUGCUUCAGGCAUGCAAGUCGAACGGACCUUCGGGUCAGUGGCGGACGGGUGAGUAACACGUAAGCAACCUGCCCAGAAGUGGGGAAUAACCCACCGAAAGGUGAGCUAAUACCGCAUGUGAUGGACCUUCCCUGGAGGGUUCACUCAAAGGCUUCGGUCGCUUUUGGAGGGGCUUGCGCUCGAUUAGCUAGUUGGUGGGGUAACGGCCUACCAAGGCAACGAUCGAUAGCUGGUCUGAGAGGACGGUCAGCCACACGGGGACUGAGAUACGGCCCCGACUCCUACGGGAGGCAGCAGCUAGGAAUCUUGGGAAUGGGCGAAAGCCUGACCCAGCAACGCCGCGUGGGCGAUGAAGGCCUUAGGGUCGUAAAGCCCUUUUGCGGGGGACGAUGAUGACGGUACCCCGCGAAUAAGCCACGGCUAACUACGUGCCAGCAGCCGCGGUAAUACGUAGGUGGCAAGCGUUGUCCGGAUUUACUGGGCGUAAGGGCGCGCAGGCGGCCUGUUUAUUCUAGGGUGAAAGCUC
rnacentral:rRNA from 1 species